CCACAUGACUGUUUCCUUCUAAGAAGAGAAAGUGAAACCCAGAGACAGACACGCAGGAGAAAUCGUGUGAGGACAGAGGUGGAGAUGCGCUACGGUUUGCCGGGAGCCACCAGAGGCCGGAAGGAGUAAGGAAGGAUUGUUCCCUAGGGCUCUCACAGAGAGCAGGGGCCUGGAAACACCUUGCUUUCGGUCUUCCGUCCUCCGGGACUGGGAGAGACUGUGGAGCACAGAGCAGGAAGGAGCAAGAGGUGGAGGGGCCAGGGACUUGCCACCUGUGUGACCAUGUUAGGCCUCGGCCGCACUGUCUGUGGCGACCACCCAGAAUACAGACACACCAUAGGAUCUGUGUUACUCAAUUUCACAGCACGCAAAAGAUGAGUGUUCUAUCUGGUGAAGAAUGUGAAGAAAUGGAGUCCUGAAGCCAGCAGUGUGCCUAAAGCUGCGACAGUGCUGAGGGGCAGAGCAGGGGCUCAGAUCCAGCCUCCCUGAGUCCAUAGCUCGGCUCCCCGCACCCCCACUGACCUCAUCCCUGGAAUUACUGCUGUGCCCCAGGCACUGUGCUAAAGAUACAGAAGUGCUCUCGUUGCUGCAUGGUCCUGGAGCUGCUCAGAAACUAAUGGGGGAGAAGGAUCUAGGAGGAGGCUCCCGGGGCUGCUGUGACAAAUGACCACAAACACGGUGGACCUGCCCAGCACGAUGGGUCGUCUCAGAGCUCUGGGGGUUUGGUGCCUGAACUGGGUUUCACUACAGUAAAAUCAAGGCACUGGCAGGCUGGGUUCCUUCUGGAGGCUCCAGGGGGUCUGUUCCCUCGCCCUUCCCAGCAUCCAGAGGCUGCCUGCCUUCCCUGCUCAUGGCCCUAUUGUGGUCUCACUCUGGCCACCUCCUUGCUUUGAAGGGCCUGGAGUUAGGCUGGACUUGCCUGAACAACCCAGGUGUUAUGAGCUGAGUGUUCGUGUCCUCCCAAAUGGAUACGUUGAAAGCUGCACCCCAAGGCAGUAGUGCCAGGAGGUGGGGCCUUUGGGAGGUGCUGAGGUCAUGAGGGUGGCACCCUCGUGAAUGGGGUCAGGGCCCUGAAGAGAGAGCCCCAGAGAGCUCCCUGACCUCUUCACCAUGUGUGGAUGCAGGAGAAGGCACCAUCUCUGAACUAGGAAGUGGCCCUUGCCAGACACUGAGUCUCCCAGUGCCCUGAACUUGGACUUCCAGCCUCCAGAACUGUGAGAAAUGAAUGCCUGCUGUUUAUAAGCCCAGUCUCUGGUACUUUGUUAGAGCUGGCCACAUGGACUUAGACACCAGGAGAAUCUCCUCAUUCCAGGAUCCUUAAUCGAGUUUGCAAAGUCCCUUUGCCAUAUAAGAUCACAUAUUCACGAAUUCCAGGGAUUAGACUGUGGACUUUUGGGAGGGAACUGGUAUUCUGCCUGCCACAGACAUGAAAACAUCAUUUCAAUGCGUUUUGGUGAAUUUUAUCAUAGAAAUUCAUAGACAGGCGGUGCUAUGGAAACACAGAAGAGGGACAAUUAGAAAAUGCUUCUCAGGAGAUGUGACAUUUGAGCUCGGUCUCGAAAGAUGAAUUUGUCACGCAGAGAAGGAGCAAAGCCAUCCCAGCAUAGGAACAACUUGUGCAGAGGCGUGAGGCCCUCGGGGGAUUCUGAGCAUGUGGGAGACGAGAAGGGAAGUUAGCUGGGCUGAAGCCUGGGGACAGGCUAAGCAGCUUAGCCUUUGUCCCCAGGGGCUGGUGUGGCUAAAUCUUUUUUGCUCAUCUGUUCCUGUUGGCUGAUGUUUACCUCGUUCCCCCCAAUACAUAUAUCAAGAGCCUUUUGAAUUUUAGCUGAACCAGCUAAAGACUGGGCACCAGCUAAACUGAACUUCUCAGCGAUUGGCAUGGCAAUGAGCCUGAAUUUGGGCCAAGGGGCAGUAAGCAGCAGGGAGUGUGGAUGUGGCAGCAACCCAGCAUGUACCAUGCCAACCACGUACCAAGCCAUACACAACAUGUCAUCAGAAGACAACAGAGCAAGAGACCCAGCAGACCGGGGUCCCCAGCAACUUCAUGAAGCACCAUCUACUCACCUCCGGACAGUCUGGGGAGAGAGACUGAAACUCCUAUCCAAGCCAUUUCAUCUUUGAUCUCCUUGUUUUCGUGGUUCAGGUUGUAACUUAAUAAAUAAAACAUGUUUGAGUUCAUGUUUACAUCCAACCAUUAAAAAAGU